rnacentral:rRNA from 1 species
ACGAAGGGUGCAAGCGUUAAUCGGAAUUACUGGGCGUAAAGGGUGCGUAGGCGGUUCGUUAAGUCUGUUGUGAAAUCCCCGGGCUCAACCUGGGAAUGGCAAUGGAUACUGGCGAGCUAGAGUGUGUCAGAGGAUGGUGGAAUUCCCGGUGUAGCGGUGAAAUUCGUAGAUAUCGGGAGGAACACCAGUGGCGAAGGCGGCCUUCUGGACCAGUACUGACACUGAGGCACGAAAGCGUGGGGAGCAAACAGGA